rnacentral:snRNA from 1 species
GUAUUUGAGGGUGAUCUGGCUGAGAUAACUGUCAUCCCAUUAAUUGCCUGGGUUGAUUGGGCUAAUCUGAGUGGCUAGGCAAUUGUCCUCUUUUCCCUCACCACUCCAAGUGGAUCUCUCCAGAAGUUGCACUUGGUCAAAGAGGACAGUCUUCUCCGAAACAGAGAUUAACUGGUCUUAGGGUGUAUGAGUACUUGUGAUCCCCUGCUAGAACCUUAAAACAAGCUCUCAAUGUCCAUUUAAGAAGAAUAGGUUUAAAAGUUAUAGAACCAGAUUUGAUAUUUAAAUGACAGAAUCAGAUU